rnacentral:rRNA from 1 species
CAGCCGCCGCGGUAAUACGAAGGGGGCUAGCGUUGUUCGGAAUUACUGGGCGUAAAGGGCGCGUAGGCGGCGAUCAAAGUCAGGCGUGAAAUUCCUGGGCUCAGCCUGGGGGCUGCGUUUGAUACUUGGUUGCUAGAGUGAGGAAGAGGGUCGUGGAAUUCCCAGUGUAGAGGUGAAAUUCGUAGAUAUUGGGAAGAACACCGGUGGCGAAGGCGGCAACCUGGUCCAUAAUUGACGCUGAGGCGCGAAAGCGUGGGGAGCAAACAGGAUUAGAUACCCGCGUAGUCCCUGUCUCUUAUAC